rnacentral:lncRNA from 1 species
UUUUGAAGUGCUUUUCUGGCAUAAGCUAAUUUUUAACUGGCAAAGGUUGGUGACAACAAAUAUCAACACAACAUUACAACCAAUUUGUUGCAAAAAAAAAAAAAAACCAACAACAACAAUUAAACACCAUGCUAGAACACUGUACGUUUUUAAAAAAGAUAACUUGAGAGAUGAUAGGACAGAUUGAGAUAAAUGAAAUGUUCAUAUCGGGCUUCAGGAGGCCUUCACAAAUUUCUCUCUCUGUACAUCCUCCCCCCUAUCUUGUAUGCGUAUUCAACAAGCUAUUCUUACUUCUAGUUACAUCCAUUAUCUAUGUUAACUUGGGAGAUGUAUCCAAAUAGAACUUCCAUUCCAGUCCUUAGGUCCUAUGAGUUCAAAGAAGUCAAUUUUAUGCUUGACCUCAGAAGUUUGCCCUUGAAAUUUGAUUUCUCAAUCAUGCAAAUAAACAUUUAUCACAAAAAAGUAUACUUAUUUAAUAUGGCCAGAAAAAAAAAAAAAAAAACACCUCAUGGAGGAACUCUUUCUUCUGAGUCUAUGUCCCUUUUACCACAAUACAAGAGUUCAACUUUCUUUUUAACUUUUUGAUAGGCAAAAGACUAUUUCUUCUGUGGCAAUACAUUCUCAUUCCACAAAGUCCAUGGUAAAAGCAAACAAUACAUCAUCACCUUUUUCAGUCUAAACACAUGCUUUUCUUUGAGCUGUUUUGGUUCACAUUUAUAUGAGGGGGAUUUCCCUUGCCUAACCUCACUCACUUGGACUCUAUUACUAUUUUUAAUAGUAAUAAAUUUGGCUUCUAAAACAACUUAUUUGUGGAAUUUUCUUUCAUGCUUCAUUCUGAAGAACUGUUACAUUUCAAGAAAGCUGGACCUCUGGCGAAACUGCUCUUUUACUAAGAAAACAAAAUCGUGUCCAGUCUGCUUAAAGGAGAUAAUUAAACUAGCUGUCUUGGUCUAUUUUAGUCAAUUUCCCAUUUGUGUAUAUUUGGUUCCAGCUCUUUUAAUUUUCCCCAACUUUAUCUAUCUUUCUCAAACAGCAUCCUCUUUCUCUUUCUUUCUUUUUGGUAGUGGGAGAUGCUCCCCCCCCCCAUCCCCAAAUAUCUUUUCCUUUCUUCUGUCUUCUUCUGUCUCUCCCUUCCACAACCCAUCCAUCCCUAUGUCCCAAUAUUAGAACUAUUCUGCAUUUCUAUUUCAAUCUAUUUGAGUCCGCUUGCUUCUCUCCUAGGCUUUCCCCCCCCCCCUUUUUCCUGAGCAACUCUCUAAGUGUUUGCCGAUAACAUCUUGGGGACAGAUUAUUUUUCAUUGGGCCCAUUGUAAGAAGUAGCCAGCUUAUUGCAUUACUGCAGAACACAUUUCAGACUAUACAAUUGUAACAAAUGAACAACUUGUCCUCCAUAGACUCUCCACAGGAUCCAAUUAGUUACUAAACCUUUUACUUAGGUUUUCUAAUUAUUUUCUGCAGUCAUAGCAAUUGAGAUGCUGAAACAAUUCAAAAAAUGUUUUCAUUUUGUUUCAGAUUGAUAUAUAUGCAUAUAUAUGCAUGCAUAUGCAUACUGUAAGUUAAAGCAAAAUUAUGACUAAGCAAAAGGAACAAACCUCUAGAUUAAAUUAUACAGACAUUUAAAAGGGAAUCAAAUAAAUACCUCUAUGUCAUAAAAAUGAAAGAAAAGGAGAGAGAGGCAUUUUACUUCUUCUGAACAUCUAGAAUUUUAAGUUGUUAUAAUUAAAAAUAAAAUAUAAACAUUGAUCUGCAAGUCAUUACAACAGGUGAUCACUUCAGCAAAUCUAUAUUGCAACUUCAGCACAUCUUUAUUAGAACUCUUUCAUUGUGGGUAAACAGCCACAAAAAUAAAUGCUGACUUAGAAAGUAUAAAUACAAAUAUUUAAACAAAAAUAUUUGCAGCAUUCAUAGCGCAAAUUGUACCUGAACUGAAGGGCUCUGUGUGUUUACAUAUAUAUACACACAUAUAUAUAUAUGUAUAUAUAUAUUACAUAUGUGUGCAUUAUAUUCACUUCUAUCUAACCAUAUACAUAUAUUUAUUUAUAAUUUGCCAAAUGCUAUAAACAAGAUACCUGAAACAAAAUAUAUAAAAAGUAAGCAUUCUAUCAACUGAUUUGAAAAUAAACACAAGGUAAAAUAGCUAUGCACAUAAAAUUAUAAUUUUUUUUUUUUGCUGUAUAUCUACAGAAACUUGAAGAUACCAGCUGAAAAGCCUGUAAUUUCUUUAAAGCUAGUGCUUAUCAAAUAGCCUGCUCCUUGUAAAAUUUGAUUCCACAAUGGGGAAAAAAAAAAGGUAUUUUAAUUUUUUUGAAGUCUCAAUUCAAAUGAAAGGAGCAGUUAAAUUUUAGUUGGCCGAAAAAGCCUUUGAAUUCCCUAGGACUUUAAUGGUCUUUUAAAAAUUAGCUCUAUUUAAUAAAAGAGACAAAAGUAUCAAGAUAUAUAUGAAUUUAGCCUAUUUUUUAUUUCUGUGUGUUCAUAGUAAACAUUUUUGUAAGUGACAAACACGGGCAUAUGACCACAGUAUCACAAUCAAGAAAUUUUAAGACAACAUUAACAAUCACUCAAAUUUAUGCGGCAUUUGCGCAACACAGGUUACAUAUUUGCAAGGUUUACCUAUAAGUACAAUAGGUAUUAACAUUUCACUACAUUUAGAAAAAAUAAAAGUGACCUGUUAGUGACCACAUACAUCAAAAUAUACACAACACAAACUGAAGGCAAUCAUUAAUUUUGUCCCCUUCUGAUUCAUUUGAAUGGGCAGUGCUGCCAACUGAAACAACUUUCCUUUUUUUUUUUUUGUGGUUUUUUUUUUUUUUUUUUUUUUUUAAUACUUAGCAUACCAAGUGCAUUUUAGAACCCAAUCUUUGGUCUAAAAGUAAACAAAAGAAAAAAAAA